ACAAUGCCCAAAAAAGAGUA
rnacentral:tRNA from 1 species